rnacentral:rRNA from 1 species
UACGUAGGGGGCAAGCGUUGUCCGGAUUUAUUGGGCGUAAAGAGCGUGUAGGCGGCCAUGUAGGUCCGGUGUGAAACUCGAGGCUUAACCUCGAGAUGUCAUCGGAACCAUUUGGCUAGAGUCCGGAAGAGGAGAGUGGAAUUCCGUGGUGUAGCGGUGAAAUGCGCAGAUAUCAGGAAGAACACCAAUGGCGAAAGCAGCUCUCUGGACGGUACUGACGGCUGAGACGCGAAAGCGUGGGGAGCGAACAGG